UGUGGGAGCGAGCCUGCUCGCGAUGGCGGUCUGUCAGCCAACAUCAUUUUUGAAGGUGAAAUCGCUAUCGCGAGCAGGCUCGCUCCCACA
rnacentral:misc_RNA from 1 species